rnacentral:rRNA from 1 species
GCAUAUCAAUAAGCGGAGGAAAGGAAAUUAACGAAGAUUUCCUUAGUAACGGCGAGUGAAAAGGAAAUAGUCCAGCGCCGAAUCCCUCGGCCUACGGUCGAGGGAACUGUGGCGUGAAGGAGAGCCUAUCCGGCGGGUUCGUCGACUUCGGAAGCUCCCUCGAACGGGAUCCCGAAGCGGGUGCGAGGCCCGUACCGAGGUCGCGCCCGUCGGUUUGAGCCUCCGUAGAGUCGGGUUACUUGAGAGUGUAGCCCAAAGCGGAAGGUAAACCCCUUCUAAGGCUAAAUACGACCGCGAGACCAAUAGCGAACAAGUACCGCGAGGGAAAGUUGAAAAGAACUUUGAAGAGAGAGUUCAAAAGGGCGUGAAACCGCUUAGAAGAAAACGGACGGAACCGUCUGACGCCCUCGGGAAUCAGUCGAACGACGCGCGAACGCGUCUCGAUCGUCGGAGCGUAAAAGUCCGGCUCGGGGCGUCUAGUAGUCGCGUUCGUAAGGCGCAUUUCUCGAGGGUUAGCGCCGCGACCGAUGCGAACGGCCGACGACGCCGUCNAGUUGAGGUCGAACGCCCU